UACGGAGGGGGCUAGCGUUGUUCGGAAUUACUGGGCGUAAAGCGCGCGUAGGCGGAUCUGCAAGUCGGGGGUGAAAUCCCGAGGCUCAACCUCGGAACUGCCUUCGAUACUGCGGGUCUCGAGUCCGGGAGAGGUGAGUGGAAUUCCUAGUGUAGAGGUGAAAUGCGCAGAUAUCAGGAGGAACACCAAUGGCGAAGGCAGCACUCUGGGACGUGACUGACGCUGAGACGCGAAAGCGUGGGGAGCAAACAGG
rnacentral:rRNA from 1 species